AUUCAUGAAAAAUUUCAAAAUUAAUCCAAAACAUAAUUUUAAUUCAGAAAAUGAAAGAGGAAAAUAUUUAAAGAUUUUUGGUGAAAGUCCCAUAUUUUUUUGGAUUAAAAAUGAAAUUAAUAUGAAUUAAAAAAAUAAAUGGAUUAAAUGAAAAAUCAAAGAAUAAAAAGAAAUUCAAAAAAACAAACACAUGAGUCAAUUGCGCUGCAACAUGAGUCAAACAAAACAAAGGCCAGGAUUAAAACGUGGAAUCAAGAUCAGAUGGUUGAGAAGCAGCCAACACACCACCGGAGCCCUAGCUCCGUUCAAUUUCUCUAGUGAGGACCAUCGGACUGGUCCAACCAAAACUUCAUGAAAAGUGAAAAAAG
rnacentral:lncRNA from 1 species